rnacentral:rRNA from 1 species
UACAGGGGGGGGCAAGCGUUGUUCGGAAUUACUGGGCGUAAAGGGCUCGUAGGUGGCCAACUAAGUCAGACGUGAAAUCCCUCAGCUUAACUGGGGAACUGCGUCUGAUACUGGAUGGCUUGAGUUUGGGAGAGGGAUGCGGAAUUCCAGGUGUAGCGGUAGAAAUGCGUAGAUAUCUGGAGGAACACCGGUGGCGAAGGCGGCAUCCUGGACCAACACUGACACUGAGGAGCGAAAGCCAGGGGAGCAAACGGG